AGAGUUUGAUCCUGGCUCAGAAUCAACGCUGGCGGCGUGCCUAACACAUGCAAGUCGAGCGCGAAAGGGGGGCAACCCCCGAGUAGAGCGGCGAACGGGUGAGUAACGCGUGGGUGAUCUACCUUCGAGUGGGGAAUAACAGCGGGAAACUGCUGCUAAUACCGCAUGACAUCCUCGAUUCACAUUGGGGAUCAAAGCCGGGGACCGCAAGGCCUGGCGCUUGAAGAUGAGCCCGCGUCCGAUUAGCUAGUUGGCGGGGUAACGGCCCACCAAGGCUCCGAUCGGUAGCCGGCCUGAGAGGGCGGACGGCCACACUGGGACUGAGACACGGCCCAGACUCCUACGGGAGGCAGCAGUGGGGAAUUUUUCGCAAUGGGGGAAACCCUGACGAAGCAACGCCGCGUGGAGGAUGAAGGCCUUCGGGCCGUAAACUCCUGUCGACCGGGAAGAAUGCACCUGACCUAAUACGUCAAAGUGUUGACUGUACCGGUGGAGGAAGCCACGGCUAACUCUGUGCCAGCAGCCGCGGUAAUACAGAGGUGGCAAGCGUUGUUCGGAAUUACUGGGCGUAAAGGGCGCGUAGGCGGCCCGUCAAGUCCCGUGUGAAAGCCCCCGGCUCAACCGGGGAACGGCGCGGGAAACUAGCAGGCUUGAGUUCGGGAGAGGGAAGCGGAAUUCCGGGUGUAGCGGUGAAAUGCGCAGAUAUCCGGAGGAACACCGGUGGCGAAGGCGGCUUCCUGGACCGACACUGACGCUGAGGCGCGAAAGCUAGGGGAGCAAACGGGAUUAGAUACCCCGGUAGUCCUAGCCCUAAACGAUGAGAACUGGGUGUAGGGGGUAUGAACCCCCCCUGUGCCGAAGCUAACGCAUUAAGUUCUCCGCCUGGGGAGUACGGUCGCAAGGCUGAAACUCAAA
rnacentral:rRNA from 1 species